rnacentral:rRNA from 1 species
AACAAACGCUGGCGGCGUGCCUAAUACAUGCAAGUCGAACGGGGAAAGCUUUCGGGUGAGUACUAGUGGCGCACGGGUGAGGAACGCGUGGAUAAUCUGCCUUAGAGUGGGGGAUAACUAGUCGAAAGAUUAGCUAAUACCGCAUAAGACCACGAGAGCUGCGGCUUUUGAGGUCAAAGGUUUUUCGCUCUAAGAUGAGUCCGCGUAAGAUUAGCUAGUUGGUGAGGUAACGGCUCACCAAGGCGACGAUCUUUAACUGGUCUGAGAGGAUGAUCAGUCACAGUGAAACAGAGAAACGGUCAAGACUCCUAGGGGAGGAGGAAGUGGGAAAGAUUGAAAAAGGGAGAAACCUUGGAGGCGGCGACCGCGGGGGAGUGAUGAAGGCUUGGGGGUGUAAAGGCUUGGGGGAGGGGAAAAAAAACAAGGAGGGUCCCUUGAAGAAAGGGUGCGACAACUUCGGGC